rnacentral:rRNA from 1 species
CCUACGGGUGGCAGCAGUGAGGAAUAUUGGUCAAUGGACGAGAGUCUGAACCAGCCAAGUAGCGUGAAGGAUGACUGCCCUAUGGGUUGUAAACUUCUUUUAUAUGGGAAUAAAAUGUUCCACGUGUGGGAUUUUGUAUGUACCAUAUGAAUAAGGAUCGGCUAACUCCGUGCCAGCAGCCGCGGUAAUACGGAGGAUCCGAGCGUUAUCCGGAUUUGUUGGGUUUAAGGGGAGCGUAGAUGGGUUGUUAAGUCAGUUGUGAAAGUUUGCGGCUCAACCGUAAAAUUGCAAUUGAUACUGGCAGCCUUGAGUACAGUUGAGGUAGGCGGAAUUCGUGGUGUAGCGGUGACAUGCUUAGAUAUCACGAAGAACUCCGAUUGCGAAGGCAGCCUACUAAACUGCCACUGACAUUGAUGCUCGAAAGUGUGGGUAUCAAACAGGAUUAGAUACCCUUGUAGUC